rnacentral:lncRNA from 1 species
UUAAUCGUAUAUGCACAUAAUAAUAAUAAUAAUAUUAUUAUGCAAAUUAUUCUUUAAAUAAAAAUUAUUCAAACCUUACUAUAAGUCCAAUUAAUAAAUAAUGGGCAGCCCAUUUAAAAUAAUUAAAUCAAGGACCUCCCCCUUUUUCUUAAAAAUUUUCGCAGCCCACUAUAAAAUGGGCAGCCCAAGUUAAUUAAACAAUAAUAGGGCCAUCUAUUAAAUAAUUGAAUUAAG